AAAGAAGGUGCAAAUAGACCUUGAAGGCCUGUAGGCCCCGGCAUGGGCAGAUGUGGGGAACAAAUAAGAGAGGGCGUGGGGACCCCAAAUUCCAGUUUCCUUACUUCCUGUGAAAGCAUCAAAGAAGAAAUUAACAAGUCCAUAGGAUCAAUUUGCCCCAGAUCACAAAGCAAGGCUUCAUUCAUUUGGUAAACAUCAGAGCACCACCAUGAAACUCCAAGACUUCAGUUGAAGCAGAUUUCACACAAGGUGGAAACUGAGGCAUGGGAUACUUACAUAACUUGCUCAAGACCAAGCAGUUUCCAAGUCAGUCCAGUAGACAAAGUUCGCCUGGAGCAACCGCGCCCUGAAAGUGCUUCAUCUGCAUUGAAAUAUGUGAGUUCCCUAACUCUCCUUUCUCUCCGGUAAACCUGUGAAGGAAGGGGCCAUGGCACUGAAGACCUUACUGGGGAAGUGGUGAAACUGGCCUCCUCCCUCAGCCCC